AUUGAACGCUGGCGGCAGGCCUAACACAUGCAAGUCGAACGAGUGGCGGACGGGUGAGUAAUGUCUGGGAAACUGCCCGUUGGAGGGGGAUAACUACUGGAAACGGUAGCUAAUACCGCAUACUAUCGGAUGUGCCCAGAUGGGAUAUGCUAGUAGGGGGGGUAACGGCUCACCUAGGCGACGAUCCCUAGCUGGUGUGAGAGGAUGACCAGCCGCACGGGAACUGUGACACGGGCCAGACUCCUACGGAUGGCAGCAGUGGGGAAUAUGGCACAAGGGGCGGAAGCCUUGUUAAGCCUUGCCGCGUGGAUGAAGAAGGCCUUCGGGUUUUAAAGUACUUUCAGCGAGGCGGGGUUACACGCAGAAGAAGCGCCGGCUAACUCCGUGCCAGCCGCCGCGGUAAUUC
rnacentral:rRNA from 1 species